rnacentral:rRNA from 1 species
GAUGAACGCUGGCGGCGUGCUUAACACAUGCAAGUCGAACGGAAAGGCUCCUGCUUGCAGGGGUACUCGAGUGGCGAACGGGUGAGUAACACGUGGGUGAUCUGCCCUGCACUUCGGGAUAAGCCUGGGAAACUGGGUCUAAUACCGGAUAGGACGAUGGUUUGGAUGCCAUUGUGGAAAGUUUUUCGGUGUGGGAUGAGCUCGCGGCCUAUCAGCUUGUUGGUGGGGUAAUGGCCUACCAAGGCGUCGACGGGUAGCCGGCCUGAGAGGGUGUACGGCCACAUUGGGACUGAGAGACGGCCCAGACUCCUACGGGAGGCAGCAGUGGGGAAUAUUGCACAAUGGGCGCAAGCCUGAUGCAGCGACGCCGCGGGGGGGAUGACGGCCUUCGGGUUGUAAACUCCUUUCGCUAGGGACGAAGCGUUUUGUGACGGUACCUGGAGAAGAAGCACCGGCUAACUACGUG